rnacentral:rRNA from 1 species
GGAGCUUCACUGUAGCAAUACAGCGGAGCUUCUAGUGGCGCACGGGUGAGUAACACGUGGGCAACCUGCCCUAGAGUCCGGGAUACCCUCCCGAAAGGGAGGCUAAUACUGGAUACGUUCUUCGGAUCGCAAGGUCUGGAGAGGAAAGGUAGCGAAAGCUGCCGCUCUUGGAGGGGCUCGCGGCCUAUCAGCUAGUUGGUGAGGUCAUGGCUCACCAAGGCGAUGACGGGUAGCUGGUCUGAGAGGACGACCAGCCACACGGGAACUGAGACACGGUCCCGACUCCUACGGGAGGCAGCAGUGGGGAAUUUUCCGCAAUGGGCGAAAGCCUGACGGAGUGACGCCGCGUGGGGGACGAAGGCCUUCGGGUCGUAAACCCCUGUCAGAGGGAAAGAAGGGUCUCGGCGUGAAUAGCGUCGGGGUCUGACGGUACCUUCAGAGGAAGCCCCGGCCAACUCUGUGCCAGCAGCCGCGGUAAGACAGAGGGGGCAAGCGUUGCUCGGAAUUACUGGGCGUAAAGGGCGCGUAGGCGGGAUGGCAAGUCAGUCGUGAAAUCCCUGGGCUCAACUUAGGGGGGUCGGCUGAUACUGCCGUUCUUGAGGGAUGCAGAGGAGACUGGAAUUCCCGGUGUAGCGGUGAAAUGUGUAGAGAUCGGGAGGAACACCGGUGGCGAAGGCGGGUCUCUGGGCAUUCCCUGACGCUGAGGCGCGAAAGCGUGGGGAGCAAACGGGAUUAGAUACCCCGGUAGUCCACGCGGUAAACGAUGACG